rnacentral:rRNA from 1 species
AGAGUUUGAUCAUGGCUCAGAUUGAACGCUGGCGGCAUGCCUUACACAUGCAAGUCGAACGGCAGCACGGGAGCAAUCCUGGUGGCGAGUGGCGAACGGGUGAGUAAUACAUCGGAACGUGCCCAAUCGUGGGGGAUAACGCAGCGAAAGCUGUGCUAAUACCGCAUAAGAUCUACGGAUGAAAGCAGGGGAUCGCAAGACCUUGCGCGAGUGGAGCGGCCGAUGGCAGAUUAGGUAGUUGGUGAGGUAAAGGCUCACCAAGCCGACGAUCUGUAGCUGGUCUGAGAGGACGACCAGCCACACUGGGACUGAGACACGGCCCAGACUCCUACGGGAGGCAGCAGUGGGGAAUUUUGGACAAUGGGCGCAAGCCUGAUCCAGCCAUGCCGCGUGCAGGAUGAAGGCCUUCGGGUUGUAAACUGCUUUUGUACGGAACGAAAAGGUUCUUUCUAAUAAAGAGGGCCCAUGACGGUACCGUAAGAAUAAGCACCGGCUAACUACGUGCCAGCAGCCGCGGUAAUACGUAGGGUGCAAGCGUUAAUCGGAAUUACUGGGCGUAAAGCGUGCGCAGGCGGUGAUGUAAGACAGUUGUGAAAUCCCCGGGCUCAACCUGGGAACUGCAUCUGUGACUGCAUCGCUGGAGUGCGGCAGAGGGGGAUGGAAUUCCGCGUAGCAGUGAAAUGCGUAGAUAUGCGGAGGAACACCGAUGGCGAAGGCAAUCCCCUGGGCCUGCACUGNNNNUCAUGCGCGAAAGCGUGGGGAGCAAACAGGAUUAGAUACCCUAGUAGUCC